UACAGAGGUCUCAAGCGUUGUUCGGAUUCAUUGGGCGUAAAGGGUGCGUAGGCGGCGCGGUAAGUCGGGUGUGAAAUCUCGGGGCUUAACUCCGAAACUGCAUUCGAUACUGCCGUGCUUGAGGACUGGAGAGGAGACUGGAAUUUACGGUGUAGCGGUGAAAUGCGUAGAUAUCGUAAGGAAGACCAGUGGCGAAGGCGAAUCUCUGGACAGUUACUGACACUGGGGCUCGAAGGCCAGGGGAGCAAACGGG
rnacentral:rRNA from 1 species